GUCUACGGCCACGCCACCCUGAACACGCCCGAUCCCGUCUGAUCUCGGAAGCUAAGCGGGGUCGGGCCUGGUUAGCACUUGGAUGGGAGGCCACCUACGAAGACCAGGUGCUGUAGGUG
rnacentral:rRNA from 1 species